rnacentral:tRNA from 1 species
ACUAUUUUGGCAGAAAAUAUGCAUUAAAUUUAGGAUUUAAUUAUAUAGGAAAACUAUAAAUAGUA